rnacentral:rRNA from 1 species
CUCUUCGGUUAAUACCCGGAGACGAUGACAUUAGCUGCAGAAUAAGCACCGGCUAACUCUGUGCCAGCAGCCGCGGUAAUACAGAGGGUGCAAGCGUUAAUCGGAAUUACUGGGCGUAAAGCGAGCGUAGGUGGCUUGAUAAGUCAGAUGUGAAAUCCCCGGGCUUAACCUGGGAACUGCAUCUGAAACUGUUAGGCUAGAGUAGGUGAGAGGGAAGUAGAAUUUCAGGUGUAGUGGUGAAAUGCGUAGAGAUCUGAAGGAAUACCGAUGGCGAAGGCAGCUUCCUGGCAUCAUACUGACACUGAGGCUCGAAAGCGUGGGUAGCAAACAGGAUUAGAUACCCUGGUAGUCCACGCCGUAAACGAUGUC